rnacentral:rRNA from 1 species
UACGGGGGGGGCAAGCGUUGUUCGGAAUUACUGGGCGUAAAGGGCUCGUAGGCGGCCAACUAAGUCGAACGUGAAAUCCCCGGGCUCAACCCGGGAACUGCGUCCGAUACUGGCAGGCUUGAAUUCGGGAGAGGGAUGCGGAAUUCCAGGUGUAGCGGUGAAAUGCGUAGAUAUCUGGAGGAACACCGGUGGCGAAGGCGGCAUCCUGGACCGAGAUUGACGCUGAGGCGCGAAAGCCAGGGGAGCAAACGGG